UACGUAGGGUUCAAGCGUUGUCCGGAAUUAUUGGGCGUAAAGAGCUCGUAGGCGGCCUGUCGCGUCGACUGUGAAAACCCAGGGCUCAACCCUGGGCCUGCAGUCGAUACGGGCAGGCUAGAGUGCAGUAGGGGAGACUGGAAUUCCUGGUGUAGCGGUGAAAUGCGCAGAUAUCAGGAGGAACACCGGUGGCGAAGGCAGCUCGCUGGGACGUUACUGACGCUGAGACGCGAAAGCGUGGGGAGCAAACAGG
rnacentral:rRNA from 1 species